rnacentral:misc_RNA from 1 species
GAUGAAGAACGCAGCGAAAUGCGAUAAGUAAUGUGAAUUGCAGAAUUCAGUGAAUCAUCGAAUCUUUGAACGCACAUUGCGCCCUCUGGUAUUCCGGGGGGCAUGCCUGUUCGAGCGUCAUUAUAACCACUCAAGCUCUCGCUUGGUAUUGGGGUUCGCGGUUUCGCGGCCCCUAAAAUCAGUGGCGGUGCCUGUCGGCUCUACGCGUAGUAAUACUUCUCGCGAUUGAGUUCGAUAGGUCUACUUGCCAGUAACCCCCAAUUUUUACAGGUUGACCUCGGAUCAGGUAGGGAUACCCGCUGAACUUAAGCAUAUCAAUAAGCGGAGGGA